rnacentral:rRNA from 1 species
GAUGAACGCUGGCGGCGUGCCUAAUACAUGCAAGUCGAGCGAACAGACGAGGAGCUUGCUCCUCUGACGUUAGCGGCGGACGGGUGAGUAACACGUGGAUAACCUACCUAUAAGACUGGGAUAACUUCGGGAAACCGGAGCUAAUACCGGAUAAUAUAUUGAACCGCAUGGUUCAAUAGUGAAAGACGGUUUUGCUGUCACUUAUAGAUGGAUCCGCGCCGCAUUAGCUAGUUGGUAAGGUAACGGCUUACCAAGGCGACGAUGCGUAGCCGACCUGAGAGGGUGAUCGGCCACACUGGAACUGAGACACGGUCCAGACUCCUACGGGAGGCAGCAGUAGGGAAUCUUCCGCAAUGGGCGAAAGCCUGACGGAGCAACGCCGCGUGAGUGAUGAAGGUCUGCGGAUCGUAAAACUCUGUUAUUAGGGAAGAACAAAUGUGUAAGUAACUAUGCACGUCUUGACGGUACCUAAUCAGAAGGCCACGGCUAACUACGG